rnacentral:snRNA from 1 species
GGAUGUGAGGGUGAUCUGGCUGUGACAUCUGUCAUCCCAUUGAUUGCCAGGGUUGCCUCAACUAAUCUGGCUGGCUAGCUAGGCGGGUGCCCUCUUCCUCCCUCACUGCCCCAUGUGUGUCCAUCUGGAAGCUGUGUACUUGGUCAAAGAGGAUGACCUUCCAUGAUAGAGGAAGACCAUUCUUCGGUCAAGGGUAUAUGAGUAGCUGCGCUCCCCUGCUAGAACCUCCAAACAAGCUCUCAAGAUUAAAUAUCUUUUCCUCCAGAAAGCUCUUCUGAACUAGCAGCCUGGCUCAGUCUACAUUUCAUUGCUUCCAUUGUACCAUGGACACAGCCAUCUUACCUGUUUAUCCAUUUGU